CUAAUCAUUUGCAUGCUAUUAAAGACUGCAGUUUUAGCUCAAAUAAAUUCUGAGGACACUCGAACUUUGGCUGUGCAAGAAGAUAUUCUUGAAAAAGAAUUCCUUGAGAUGCAAAAAGUCUUGCUAGCCAUGCAGGAACAGCAACAAAAGCAACUGGAACUGAUUGUUGCUAUGGGAGAAAAAAGGAAACUCAUGGAAAGCAAACAAACGCGGGAUCAAGAACAGACAAGAAUUGAUGGACAAAAUUCAGCCAAUGUGGAAUCAAAAGAACUGGAAGCUUAUGAAAUCUGAGUGUGUCACAAAGGAUUUUGUUGAUGAAACGAGACUGAAGUGGAAUUUCUACACAGUAAGGUGGAUUGUUUCUGUACUUGUGAUCUUGAUUCUUGUGGCUGCUGUUUUCAAAAAAUUUUUAUUUGGUAGUUAUAAAGCUGGAUAAGAAUGCUGGAGAUAUGAAGAGGACUUGAGCCUUUUUCAGCAAUGGUAUGUAUGGAAUUUUGGAAUAUUCAUAACAUAAUGAAGAAUUUGUAUUGUCUGACAGUCAUAGUGUAGAUUUAGGCGAAUUUAGAGUCAAGUUUUGGUUGAUUAUGAAAUGAAGGAUGUAGACAGCCUCACAACCACCUAUAUUGGAAGUGACGGAACCAAAACGCAGGAACCAAUGAUAAAGAAGAAAGAACAGUUCCGGAAGCCAAUUCGAGCCUAGUUUAACUAGUUUUAACACAACCAAUCGACCAAAGGGUCAAAAAGAGUUGAAUCGUCGCCUCUACUUGUUGAACUAAUAAAAGAAUUGGUGGUGAGAGGAAUUGGAAAUGCUAAAGACUUGUUAGAUGGCUCCUCUAAUUUUUGGUAACAUAAUUGUACCACCAGCCUUAGAAACUGAUGCUUGACGUCUUUAAGGUUGAUCCAGUCGACAAAAACAUAGUUUCAUCUUUUGAAAUUAACUCAUCUUCAUAUAUGGGAGUGUUGUUAAA